rnacentral:rRNA from 1 species
GUGAAUCCGGUAAUCGAUGGCCAUACUGCGUGUUGUACAUUGUAACACACGACGGCAAGGAGGAUCGGGAGGCCGGGACAGAGAUGGAUCUCUGGAAAACGACGGCCAGAGAAUCCGAACACGUGUCAAAUUGAGCGCCGGGGGAAGGGCUAACACGUGCAAGUCGAGCGGAUGACGGGAGCUUGCUCCUUGAUUCAGCGGCGGACGGGUGAGUAAUGCCUAGGAAUCUGCCUGGUAGUGGGGGACAACGUUUCGAAAGGAACGCUAAUACCGCAUACGUCCUACGGGAGAAAGCAGGGGACCUUCGGGCCUUGCGCUAUCAGAUGAGCCUAGGUCGGAUUAGCUUGUUGGUGAGGUAAUGGCUCACCAAGGCGACGAUCCGUAACUGGUCUGAGAGGAUGAUCAGUCACACUGGAACUGAGACACGGUCCAGACUCCUACGGGAGGCAGC